rnacentral:rRNA from 1 species
UUUAAAGAGAGUUUGAUCCUGGCUCAGGACGAACGCUGGCGGCGUGCCUAAUACAUGCAAGUCGAACGAACGGAGGAAGAGCUUGCUCUUCCAAAGUUAGUGGCGGACGGGUGAGUAACACGUGGGCAACCUGCCUGUAAGUUGGGGAUAACUCCGGGAAACCGGGGCUAAUACCGAAUAAUAAGAUGUGGCGCAUGCCACGCCUUUGAAAGAUGGUUUCGGCUAUCGCUUACAGAUGGGCCCGCGGUGCAUUAGCUAGUUGGUAGGGUAAUGGCCUACCAA